rnacentral:misc_RNA from 1 species
GAAGUGCGGUAAGCAUUGCGAAUUGCAGAACCGUGAGUCAUCAGAUUUUUGAACGCAACUGGCACCGCGGGGUCCUCCCUGCGGUAUGCUUUCUUCAGUGUGUUAUUAUCUCGUCACCCAAAGCAUAAUGCGAGAGAUGCCCUUCUCUUGUUAAGCUCGAAAGCACUCUGUCAUCGCCGUGGCACCCUCGGGCGCUACACUCAAUGCAGCAGUCACAUUUUUACAAUGUGAACUCAUUGAGAGCGAAGGCAGUACGGCUCGCCGUCAGUGCUUAGACAACCAAAUUUUUUCAUCAUCUGAAGUAAAGUAGGACCACCCGCUGAACUUAA